rnacentral:rRNA from 1 species
UACAGAGGUCUCAAGCGUUUGUUCGGAUUCAUUGGGCGUAAAGGGUGCGUAGGUGGCGCCGUAAGUCGGGUGUGAAAUUUCGGAGCUUAACUCCGAAACUGCAUUCGAUACUGCGGUGCUUGAGGACUGGAGAGGAGACUGGAAUUCAUGGUGUAGCAGUGAAAUGCGUAGAGAUCAUGAGGAACACCGGUGGCGAAGGCGGCCCUCUGGACGGAUACUGAGUGAGGCGCGAAAGCGUGGGGAUCAAACAGG